AACGAACGCUGGCGGCAUGCCUAACACAUGCCAGUCGAACGAGACCUUCGGGUCUAGUGGCGCACGGGUGCGUAACGCGUGGGAACCUGCCCUUAGGUUCGGAAUAACUCCCCGAAAGGGGUGCUAAUACCGGAUAAUGUCUUCGGACCAAAGAUUUAUCGCCUUUGGAUGGGCCCGCGUUGGAUUAGCUAGUUGGUAGGGUAAAAGCCUACCAAGGCGACGAUCCAUAGCUGGUCUGAGAGGAUGAUCAGCCACGCUGGGACUGAGACACGGCCCAGACUCCUACGGGAGGCAGCAGUGGGGAAUAUUGGACAAUGGGCGAAAGCCUGAUCCAGCAAUGCCGCGUGAGUGAUGAAGGCCUUAGGGUUGUAAAGCUCUUUUACCCGGGAUGAUAAUGACAGUACCGGGAGAAUAAGCUCCGGCUAACUCCGUG
rnacentral:rRNA from 1 species